rnacentral:tRNA from 1 species
GGUUGUAGCUCACUGGUAGAGUGCUUGCCUAGCAUGUGUGAGGCCCUGGGUUUGAUUCUCUGCACCA